UGUUGAAUUGAGACCAGACGUAUGUGCUGAAAGAGUUAAAACUUUAAAUUGCCCACAACAGUUCCGGAUACAUGCACUACAUAUGGCUGGCAUUCUGGUUCCUUACACAGACGAUUGGUGUUGGCAUAAAAUCACCCAGGAUCAAUACCCAAUACACAGCUCUAC